rnacentral:rRNA from 1 species
AAAAGCUCGUAGUUGGAUCUGGGUCGCAUGGCUACACGCCGUCGCUCGUUCUCUUGAUCUGGUUACGAUCGGGUCGAGUUUGCGAGUCGGUAUAGUGGUUGUGCUUCCUUUCUGCUGUGUCUGUUUACAGGUGUCGGCGUGACCGGUGGGUUCGUCCUGCUAGUCUGUCGGCAUGCUUCUUGAUGCCUUUAACCGGGUGUCGGAGGCGGACGGCACGUUUACUUUGAACAAAUUUGAGUGCUCAAAGCAGGCCUUUGUGCCUGAAAAUUCUUGCAUGGAAUAAUGGAAUAGGACUUCGGUUCUAUUUUGUUGGUUUUCGGAUCCGAAGUAAUGGUUAAGAGGGACAGACGGGGGCAUUUGUAUGGCGGUGUUAGAGGUGAAAUUCUUGGAUCGCCGCCAGACAAACUACAGCGAAAGCAUUUGCCAAGGAUGUUUUCAUUGAUCUUGAGCGAAAGUCAGAGGUUCGAAGACGAUCAGAUACCGUCCUAGUUCUGACCAUAAACGAUGCCAACUGACGAUCCGUGGUGGUUCUUUAAGU